UGGGGAAUAUUGCACAAUGGGCGAAAGCCUGAUGCAGCAACGCCGCGUGAGUGAUGAAGGUCUUCGGAUUGUAAAGCUCUGUCUUUUGGGACGAUAAUGACGGUACCAAAGGAGGAAGCCACGGCUAACUACGUGCCAGCAGCCGCGGUAAUACGUAGGUGGCGAGCGUUGUCCGGAUUUACUGGGCGUAAAGGGUGCGUAGGCGGAUGUUUAAGUGAGAUGCGAAAUACCCGGGCUUAACUUGGGUGCUGCAUUUCAAACUGGAUAUCUAGAGUGCAGGAGAGGAGAAUGGAAUUCCUAGUGUAGCGGUGAAAUGCGUAGAGAUUAGGAAGAACACCAGUGGCGAAGGCGAUUCUCUGGACUGUAACUGACGCUGAGGCACGAAAGCGUGGGUAGCAAACAGGAUUAGAUACCCUGGUAGUCCACGCCGUAAAACGAUGAGUACUAGGUGUAGGAGGUAUCG
rnacentral:rRNA from 1 species